ensembl:snRNA U2 U2 spliceosomal RNA
AUCGCUUCUGGGCCUUUUGACUAAGAUCAAGUAUAGUAUCUGUUUUUAUCAGUUUAAAGACUUAAUAGUAACAUGUACAUAUUUCUGCUUGAACUUGACACAGGCAAUCGUU